GACGAACGCUGGCGGCGUGCUUAACACAUGCAAGUCGAACGAGAUCCAGCCGACCUUCGGGGAAGCGAAGAUCUAGUGGCGAACGGGUGCGUAACACGUGAGAAACCUGCCCCAGACUUGGGAAUAACAGUCGGAAACGACUGCUAAUACCGAAUACCUUCGUAACGUCGCAUGGCGAAUCGAAGAAAGCUUUUGCGGUUUGGGAGGGUCUCGCGGCCUAUCAGCUAGUUGGUGAGGUAACGGCUCACCAAGGCAUCGACGGGUAGCUGGUCUGAGAGGAUGAUCAGCCACACUGGGACUGAGACACGGCCCAGACUCCUACGGGAGGCAGCAGUGGGGAAUCUUGCACAAUGGGCGAAAGCCUGAUGCAGCAACGCCGCGUGCGGGAAGAAGGCCUUAGGGUUGUAAACCGCUUUCAGCAGGGAAGAAAAUGACGGUACCUGCAGAAGAAGGUGCGGCCAACUACG
rnacentral:rRNA from 1 species